rnacentral:hammerhead_ribozyme from 1 species
CUUCAGCUGACGAGUCUCAUAUAGGACGAAACGCACAUCCUGGAU